rnacentral:lncRNA from 1 species
GAGUGCUGAACUGAGUUUGCAGAGGGAGGCCCUACACACACUUGCGGGCGAAAGUGAUGCUCUACAAGAGGAAGUGAGGCGUUUGCAGGCACAGGAAGUGACAUGGACCCAAGUGGAAGAGAGGAGGCGGGACCUGAUGACGGAUCUCAGCAACACUCGCUUGCUAUUAGACAAGGAAUGCGCCAAGUAUCAAAGUGCAACUCGUCAGCAUGAGUCUUUGCAGAUGAAACAGAGGGCUCUUCUGGAGCGUGUGGAUUCUCUGGUCUCUGAGUGUGAGGAGCUGCAGACCACACUGGAGGAGAAAGAGGAGCUCACACACACCCUCUCACACAUCUCUGAGGAGAGAGACACACUGAGUCAACAACUCACAAAGCAACAGGUUAAAUAGACCUACACACAAACACACACACACACACAUGAAUACAUACAGUACAUAUAUUCAUAUUUGUGUUUCUAUGUACGUAUAUACUGUAUAUACUUGUGUGUGUAUGAUGGUAAUGGUGUAGAAAUAGAAUAGAAUAGAAAAGCCUUUAUUGUCAUUGUAUUUAUACAACGAAAUUUUGAGUGCUUCUCCUGUUGGUGUGACGAGGGACAACAUAUAACACAACAACAACAUAUAACAUAACAAUACUACAACUAUCCAAAAACAGUAGGAACAGCCCCCCAAAAAAUAUAUAUAUACAUUAAGAGUAGAACAAAGUGCGGUGGCAUAGACCAAAGUACUUCAAUAAAUACAUCAAUUAAUACA